UUAAGCGACUAAGCGUACACGGUGGAUGCCCUGGCAGUCAGAGGCGAUGAAGGACGUGCUAAUCUGCGAUAAGCGUCGGUAAGGUGAUAUGAACCGUUAUAACCGGCGAUUUCCGAAUGGGGAAACCCAGUGUGUUUCGACACACUAUCAUUAACUGAAUCCAUAGGUUAAUGAGGCGAACCGGGGGAACUGAAACAUCUAAGUACCCCGAGGAAAAGAAAUCAACCGAGAUUCCCCCAGUAGCGGCGAGCGAACGGGGAGCAGCCCAGAGCCUGAAUCAGUGUGUGUGUUAGUGGAAGCGUCUGGAAAGGCGCGCGAUACAGGGUGACAGCCCCGUACACAAAAAUGCACAUGCUGUGAGCUCGAUGAGUAGGGCGGGACACGUGGUAUCCUGUCUGAAUAUGGGGGGACCAUCCUCCAAGGCUAAAUACUCCUGACUGACCGAUAGUGAACCAGUACCGUGAGGGAAAGGCGAAAAGAACCCCGGCGAGGGGAGUGAAAAAGAACCUGAAACCGUGUACGUACAAGCAGUGGGAGCACAGAGCAAUCUGUGUGACUGCGUACCUUUUGUAUAAUGGGUCAGCGACUUAUAUUCUGUAGCAAGGUUAACCGAAUAGGGGAGCCGAAGGGAAACCGAGUCUUAACUGGGCGUUAAGUUGCAGGGUAUAGACCCGAAACCCGGUGAUCUAGCCAUGGGCAGGUUGAAGGUUGGGUAACACUAACUGGAGGACCGAACCGACUAAUGUUGAAAAAUUAGCGGAUGACUUGUGGCUGGGGGUGAAAGGCCAAUCAAACCGGGAGAUAGCUGGUUCUCCCCGAAAGCUAUUUAGGUAGCGCCUCGUGAAUUCAUCUCCGGGGGUAGAGCACUGUUUCGGCAAGGGGGUCAUCCCGACUUACCAACCCGAUGCAAACUGCGAAUACCGGAGAAUGUUAUCACGGGAGACACACGGCGGGUGCUAACGUCCGUCGUGAAGAGGGAAACAACCCAGACCGCCAGCUAAGGUCCCAAAGUCAUGGUUAAGUGGGAAACGAUGUGGGAAGGCCCAGACAGCCAGGAUGUUGGCUUAGAAGCAGCCAUCAUUUAAAGAAAGCGUAAUAGCUCACUGGUCGAGUCGGCCUGCGCGGAAGAUGUAACGGGGCUAAACCAUGCACCGAAGCUGCGGCAGCGACGCUUAUGCGUUGUUGGGUAGGGGAGCGUUCUGUAAGCCUGUGAAGGUGUGCUGUGAGGCAUGCUGGAGGUAUCAGAAGUGCGAAUGCUGACAUAAGUAACGAUAAAGCGGGUGAAAAGCCCGCUCGCCGGAAGACCAAGGGUUCCUGUCCAACGUUAAUCGGGGCAGGGUGAGUCGACCCCUAAGGCGAGGCCGAAAGGCGUAGUCGAUGGGAAACAGGUUAAUAUUCCUGUACUUGGUGUUACUGCGAAGGGGGGACGGAGAAGGCUAUGUUGGCCGGGCGACGGUUGUCCCGGUUUAAGCGUGUAGGCUGGUUUUCCAGGCAAAUCCGGAAAAUCAAGGCUGAGGCGUGAUGACGAGGCACUACGGUGCUGAAGCAACAAAUGCCCUGCUUCCAGGAAAAGCCUCUAAGCAUCAGGUAACAUCAAAUCGUACCCCAAACCGACACAGGUGGUCAGGUAGAGAAUACCAAGGCGCUUGAGAGAACUCGGGUGAAGGAACUAGGCAAAAUGGUGCCGUAACUUCGGGAGAAGGCACGCUGAUAUGUAGGUGAGGUCCCUCGCGGAUGGAGCUGAAAUCAGUCGAAGAUACCAGCUGGCUGCAACUGUUUAUUAAAAACACAGCACUGUGCAAACACGAAAGUGGACGUAUACGGUGUGACGCCUGCCCGGUGCCGGAAGGUUAAUUGAUGGGGUUAGCGGUAACGCGAAGCUCUUGAUCGAAGCCCCGGUAAACGGCGGCCGUAACUAUAACGGUCCUAAGGUAGCGAAAUUCCUUGUCGGGUAAGUUCCGACCUGCACGAAUGGCGUAAUGAUGGCCAGGCUGUCUCCACCCGAGACUCAGUGAAAUUGAACUCGCUGUGAAGAUGCAGUGUACCCGCGGCAAGACGGAAAGACCCCGUGAACCUUUACUAUAGCUUGACACUGAACAUUGAGCCUUGAUGUGUAGGAUAGGUGGGAGGCUUUGAAGUGUGGACGCCAGUCUGCAUGGAGCCGGCCUUGAAAUACCACCCUUUAAUGUUUGAUGUUCUAACGUUGGCCCGUAAUCGGGGUUGCGGACAGUGUCUGGUGGGUAGUUUGACUGGGGCGGUCUCCUCCUAAAGAGUAACGGAGGAGCACGAAGGUUGGCUAAUCCUGGUCGGACAUCAGGAGGUUAGUGCAAUGGCAUAAGCCAGCUUGACUGCGAGCGUGACGGCGCGAGCAGGUGCGAAAGCAGGUCAUAGUGAUCCGGUGGUUCUGAAUGGAAGGGCCAUCGCUCAACGGAUAAAAGGUACUCCGGGGAUAACAGGCUGAUACCGCCCAAGAGUUCAUAUCGACGGCGGUGUUUGGCACCUCGAUGUCGGCUCAUCACAUCCUGGGGCUGAAGUAGGUCCCAAGGGUAUGGCUGUUCGCCAUUUAAAGUGGUACGCGAGCUGGGUUUAGAACGUCGUGAGACAGUUCGGUCCCUAUCUGCCGUGGGCGCUGGAGAACUGAGGGGGGCUGCUCCUAGUACGAGAGGACCGGAGUGGACGCAUCACUGGUGUUCGGGUUGUCAUGCCAAUGGCACUGCCCGGUAGCUAAAUGCGGAAGAGAUAAGUGCUGAAAGCAUCUAAGCACGAAACUUGCCCCGAGAUGAGUUCUCCCUGACUCCUUGAGAGUCCUGAAGGAACGUUGAAGACGACGACGUUGAUAGGCCGGGUGUGUAAGCGCAGCGAUGCGUUGAGCUAACCGGUACUAAUGAACCGUGAGGCUUAACCUU
rnacentral:rRNA from 2 species